GAUAAACGCUGGCGGCGCACAUAAGACAUGCAAGUCGAACGGAAGUCGUUUUACUGAAUUUGAUAAGAAAGAUUUAUCUGGACUUGAGAACGAUUUAAAACAAUGGCUUUAGUGGCGGACUGGUGAGUAACACGUAAGCAACCUGCCUAUUAGAGGGGAAUAACAGCGAGAAAUCGUUGCUAAUACCGCAUAUGCCAUAAAAACCACAUGGUUUUUAAGNGGGGAAAAGGAGUAAUCCGCUAAUAGAUGGGCUUGCGUCUGAUUAGAUAGUUGGUGAGGUAACGGCCCACCAAGGCGACGAUCAGUAGCCGGCCUGAGAGGGUGAACGGCCACAUUGGGACUGAGACACGGCCCAAACUCCUACGGGAGGCAGCAGUGGGGAAUAUUGGUCAAU
rnacentral:rRNA from 1 species